rnacentral:rRNA from 1 species
GAUGAACGCUGGCGGCGUGCUUGACACAUGCAAGUCGAACGAAGCUGUUAGAAGGAAGUCUUCGGAUGGAAUUUUAAUAGACUUAGUGGCGGACGGGUGAGUAACGCGUGGAUAACCUGCCUUAUACAGGGGGAUAACGGAGAGAAAUUUCCGCUAACACCGCAUAAGACCACAGCACCGCAUGGUGCAGGGGUAAAAUAUUUAUAGGUAUAAGACGGAUCCGCGUCCGAUUAGCUAGUUGGUGAGGUAAAGGCCCACCAAGGCGACGAUCGGUAGCCGGCCUGAGAGGGUGAACGGCCACAUUGGGACUGAGACACGGCCCAAACUCCUACGGGAGGCAGCAGUGGGGAAUAUUGGACAACGGGGGAAACCCUGAUCCAGCGACGCCGCGUGAGUGAAGAAGUAUUUCGGUAUGUAAAGCUCUAUCAGCAGGGAAGAAAAUGACGUACCUGACUAAGAG